UGGUCAUAUACCAAGGCUUUCAGGACUCUGUGUUCCUGACUUGCUGUGGAGUUGACCAGAAAACAAAAACCAUCCCAGUAGUCUUCUGCAGCAGCCUGCUGUGAAGGCCUACUGGGAACAUGA
ensembl:snoRNA